GGAGAAGAAAAAAGGGAGCCAUCCAGUGCAGAAGCGGACUGAUCAUACAGACUUUGAAUCUACUGUGAAAUCAGCAUCAAAAUCUGCAAAUGCACGGCCAAAGCAUACCAUUCCCCAACCAUUUGCUCUUGCGACAGAAAAACGUGCUUCUGGUGGACCUCGUCUAUUUGUUGCUAAUAAUGCUGGAAAUGGAGACAGAACUGCUCAACCACAGAACACUUAUAAGAAGGCACAUAAUAACUUACCUCCGAC
rnacentral:misc_RNA from 1 species